UACGUAGGGGGCGAGCGUUGUCCGGAACGAUUGGGCGUAAAGGGCGUGUAGGCGGCCUGAUAAGUCUGGAGUGAGAUUCCCGGAUUCAAUUUGGGAACUGCUUUGGAUACUGUCGGGCUCGAGUGCGGAAGAGGUAAGUGGAAUUCCCAGUGUAGCGGUGAAGUGCGUAGAGAUUGGGAGGAACACCAGUGGCGAAGGCGACUUACUGGGCCGUAACUGACGCUGAGGCGCGAAAGCGUGGGGAGCGAAC
rnacentral:rRNA from 1 species